rnacentral:rRNA from 1 species
CCUUGCCAGCCCGCUCAGAAACUCAAGGAAUUGACGGGGCCGCACAAGCGGUGGAGUAUGUGGUUUAAUUCGAUGCAACGCGAAGAACCUUACCUGGUCUUGACAUCCCGGAGACCCUUAGGAAACUAGGGGGUGCUUCCAUCUGGAAGAAUCUGGAGACAGGUGCUGCAUGGCUGUCGUCAGCUCGUGUCGUGAGAUGUUGGGUUAAGUCCCGCAACGAGCGCAACCCUUGCCUUUAGUUGCCAGCAGUUCGGCUGGGCACUCUAAAGGGACUGCCGGUGUUAAACCGGAGGAAGGUGGGGAUGACGUCAAGUCCUCAUGGCCUUUAUGACCAGGGCUACACACGUACUACAAUGGCCGAUACAAAGGGCAGCGACACUGCGAGGUGAAGCCAAUCCCGUAAAAUCGGUCUCAGUCCGGAUUGGAGUCUGCAACUCGACUCCAUGAAGUUGGAAUCGCUAGUAAUCGUGGAUCAGCAUGCCACGGUGAAUACGUUCCCGGGCCUU